rnacentral:misc_RNA from 1 species
AGUUGUUCAUGUUGUUUUUGCACCUGAAAGAAGAAUGUGAUACUGUGAUAAGUAUCAUCAAGCUGAUAGUCAUGGAACUUCCCAGAGAAGACACAAGACAGAAGUCAUUUUCCCUAACAUCUCCCUUAACCAAAAAUGGCACCAAUUUAUACUGCAAGCCCCUUAGAGCCCAAGAUGAUUUGGAACAAAUAACAAAAAGGAUUAACCAACCAAAUAAGGCCUCUUUAUAACUUUAUUUUUUCCCCAGUUCAUAGGAGGUAGAAUACACUACAGGCAGGCAUCCAGCAACCGAUAGCCCCAGAGGAAAGGCCUAACAAGACUGAAAACAUGAAUAAUUUCCUAGGAAUAAGCUAUUUUCAAAAAGCCUCAAGGUCCGCUGUCAGAAAUAUCUUAAGAAUUCAUGAAAAUAUCUCUAAAACCUUAGCGAAGCUCAACUUCAUCCUUGGAAGGAAUUAUGAGGCAUUCAAGUUAAUCUAAUUGCCCAUUUGUUUCUACAGAUUCUUUCCAAUGAACAUAAAACAAGCAACCAUAUAGUCUGAAACUCACUUUUGCACAUGCCACAGACAUGGAUAUCACCUAUUACUAUUGUCAAUCAAUUCCCUAUAUUUUAAAUUUGGAUUCAAGAAGUGAUGAACCAUCAUUUCACAAUCCAGAAUAAUUGCCAUGGUAAUGAAUGACUGAAGAAGCAAUCACAGUAAAGUCACAAGAUUGGCCUGGUCAUUGUUUGAAAAAAGUAUAGUUUGACAUAACUCUAUAUCUGUGUCUCUUACCAUGGGAUGCUCGUAGGUGCGACACUUGAGAGUGGAGAAUCAUAAAAUCUUUAUAAUAGGAAACCAAGAGAAAAUGAAAAUAGAACUACUCUUAGGAAUUGAUUCUGUGUUUAAAAGGACUAUGAAGGUUGUCAUCAUGGAUAUGGGAGCAGAAGGGAUGAACGAAUUAUAAUAUAGCAUUAAACUAAAAGAAACGAAAGAUACUCAGCACAAUAAAAUUCAGAUCCAGUAACAAUCACCCAAACUUCGGAAAUACCAGGAAAAAACAAAUUCUGGCAAUCUGAGAAACAGUCCAUAAAAGAACUACAGACCAUGAAGUUGCAAAAGACAUUACUUCCUCCAUUCUCUUAAUCCCCCACCAGGCACCUGGAUGAGCCCAUAAAUAAUUAAUAAUAAAUGACUUCAAAUCUAAAAUGGAAUCACUGUUAUAACACAUAUCUCAUUUAGCAUUAACAAGAAAAACUUGCAAACACAAUACUAUUUUAGAAAUCCUGAAACCAAAAUCAAAAUUCAAUUCACCAGCACAACUAAGAACCAUAGAUGAUAUAAGCCCUCAAAGCAUUAGAAGUACAGCAGCUUAGUGAGAGAGAAAGAAGUGUCAAUACCAAGAGAGACAGAGAUGGGUGA